CGGAGGGUGCAAGCGUUAUCCGGAUUCACUGGGUUUAAAGGGUGCGUAGGUGGGCAGGUAAGUCAGUGGUGAAAUCUCCGGGCUUAACCCGGAAACUGCCAUUGAUACUAUCUGUCUUGAAUACCCUGGAGGUGAGCGGAAUAUGUCAUGUAGCGGUGAAAUGCUUAGAUAUGACAUAGAACACCCAUUGCGAAGGCAGCUCACUACGGGAAUAUUGACACUGAGGCACGAAAGCGUGGGGAUCAAACAGGAUUAGAUACCCUGGUAGUCCACGCCCUAAACUAUGGAUACCCGACAUCAGCGAUAAACUGUUGGUGUCUGAGCGAAAGCAUUAAGUAUCCCACCUGGGAAGUACGAUCGCAAGAUUG
rnacentral:rRNA from 1 species